GAAAUUCAAAAUGUUCGUGGAAGAUAAUGCUAUUUAUUUCAUCUAAUGUAACCGGCAUCGUAAUUCGGAUGCAAUCCUUUGAAAGCACAACGCGCGGCACUGCGUUUCGCGUGAAACCCUCUAUUAUAUAUUUUCAUAUUUUUUUUUUUUUUUUCGUUUUGUUUAAAUCUUUCUUUUGCGUGUAUAGGCAUGCAACAUUUCGCGUUAUACAAGUGUACAAUGUUCCUCUGUACGUGUAUGCAUAUAUGUAUACGGGUAUGCGUGUCUCUCUGCGUGUAUGUAAUGUAUGUAUGUAUGUAUGUAUGUAUGUAUGUAUAUAUGUAUGUAUGUAGAAACCUUAAUUUGCUGUAUUUUCAUCAGAAUACAUUAAUCAUUGCAUAGAAAAGAAUUGAAAGCACUAGCGAAUGGAAUAUUUUGCUCAAAAAAUAUUUCACGAUUAAACUAUUGAAAACAGAUGUAUAUAAAUAUAAAUAUCUCUACAUGACAAAAAUAAUUAUAUUCAUGCUGCUAUAAUAUAAAGGAAUGACAAAAACAAAUUUCUAUGUCACAGCUUUUGCUUUGCAAAGUGUCAUGAAAUGUAUCUCAUUAACUCAAAUUGUAUUCAACUGAUAUACCUUGAAACUAAAAAUAAUUAGACAAAAGUUUUAAUGUACAACGCAUGUUAACCAUACUAAAAUGUUACUUGAGAGGAUCUUUUUGAUUCAGUGAUGAAUCGAGUAAUUCUUAUCUUAGCACGCUAAUAUAAUGAAUCCUCUGUUCCUAAGGUAUGAGUAAGGAAGAAUGAGACUUGAUGUUUAUAUACUUCUGGGUACAUUAAUCUAAAUACUAUAAGAUAUAAUUUGAUGAAGAUUUUGAGAAAUAAAGACUUUGGGAUUCAGAAUAAAACUUGGCAAUAAAGUAUUAUGUUAUUCAUUUAACUGGACCAGCCAGCAUUGUAAAUAUAUAAAUAUAUGUUUAUACAUAGAAUAGCUCUCCCUUUGUAUGUAUAUUUAUCCUCCAGCCAAGUUAUUUCUGCUUUACAUAUGUAAGAUCUUUGGUUUUGCCAAGGUAUUACUCUGUACUCAAGAAAUCUUGCUCAUAUAGCAUGUUAAUCGUUCAAUCGGCCUAAUCAUUUCAUAGCUCAAGGAACAGUUCAAUACAAUAAUUUGCAACAUCAUUUUAUGGAAGUGAAUAUAAUUUGAUCUGCACGAUACACAUUAAAAUACUAAAUCCUCAGAUCGAAGUCAUUCAAUUUGUGAGUUCUGUAUGACCUUCUAACUAAAAAUAUCUUUCAUAUUAGUACUAAGAUUAUGCUCCUAUA
rnacentral:misc_RNA from 1 species